UAUAUACUAUGUGCAUUAAUGCACUUGAAAUGUAUAUUUCUUCUACAUCUAAAUACACUUUCUUAUACAGUAUACUCCAGUUAAACUUAUUGUUGAAAUUUUCAUCAAACGAGAACAGAGGAGCGGCGUGUUUGGAUGAUUCAUGUACUGCAGAUGAUGAAACAAGAUCAGUACAGAUUUGUUGCUGGAGAUACAGUGUGGAGACACAGACCAGUGCUGAAGAGGUGAUGUUAGAAGUUUUUAGUGAAUUGUUGUCUAGUCAGCUCACCCAGAUCACACACUUAAUAGAUUUUAAAUUCUUUGAAUCUUUUCCAUUUGCAAGUAACAUAUCCCCACCUGUGCAUUUACAGACCCCCUCUAAUCAUCAUAUAUUUUACAGGUAACAAACCAAAGGAAGACGACAGUCGUGGUAAAUACAGGAACAUCCUUCAUUAAGAUAUGUGAGAGAAGCUUGCAAGGCAAGAUGAGGGAAAUAAAAUUAAAGGUACCUUUCUUAAUUUUCAUAGAUUUUGGGAUAUUUAUCUACAUUUGGGUAACUGAUAAAGUUAUGUUUUAUUCCCUGUAAAAUAGGAAUAAUAAAUGUGUGUGAAAAUGUUAUCAAUUUUUAAAGCCCAGUGUCAGUGAAGAUGGUGUGAUCAGGAAUUCUGAAGAACAUCUCCCAGUGUUCUACCACCAUGUUGCCCUGAUGAUUGAGGUAAUGUUAGGUGAUGCAGAUGUGGUCAAAAGUUUACACACACCUUGCAGAAUAUACUGCUCCAUCAGGGCAGAAAUUGCAAUUUUUUAAUGAUUCUACCUCUCUACCCUCUUACUGCUUAAAUUAUUAACAUUUUGCAGAGACUGCAUGGUGUAUAUAAAUUUUGGACUGCAGCUGUGUCUAUUGCUUUCACUCAGCUGAACCAUUUAUAAUGACUGGAUAUGUAUUAUAACAAUUGUUCUUCUUUCUUUCCUCAAGGUAUUUUUUUUCUGACUUUCCUGCCUCUUUGGAUCAUUUCGGUUCACACAGACUGUGGAGAGAUGGUGUGCAGCUUCAUGACGUGAAGUUUAGUGCCGAUGGAGAGCUUCUGGGACACUGACAGACAGCACUUCCCAGCAAGUUCAUUUGGAGUUCUUUUUUAUUAUUAAUUAAUUAAUUUAUUUAGUCAAGCUUGCAUUCACUAAUGCUGGAGUAAAACCUUUCGGUCCUGUUUAAUGUUGGUGCUAGUAAAGGUUUGAGAACUAAUGGCCUGGUUUCACAGACAGGGCUUAGACUAAGCCAGGAUCAUAGCUCAAUUAGGACAUUUAAGUCAUUUUCAUUAACAUGCCUUAGAAAAAACAUUACUGGUGUGCAUCUUGAGACAAAACAAAGGCACUGAUAUUUUUAAAGAUCAGUCAGUGCAAGUUUCUUUCAGUUGAAACAGCUCAGAAUUAUAUUUAAUUCAAUUCAAAUGGGCUUUAUUGGCAUGACUUGCACAGUAUUGCCAAAGCAUAAUUAUAGAAUUACAUUUUAGUCUGGGGCUGGUCUUAAGCCUUGUCUGUGAAACCAGGGGUACCAUUAACACGGUUUGGUAAUGUUUUACAAUAAGAUCUCAUUUGUUGUACAUGGAAUUAUAAUUUUCUUGAUUUUUAAUUUUUUUUUUUUUUGUAUUAGGUUUGUGUGUUAGUAAUCCUAUGUGUAAUGGAGACCAAAUGACUUCACAAGGAUAGUAAGACCAGUAAAUGUUGACCUUGUGGACAUUUUUAGGUCCUCAAUGAGGAAACAGGCUCAUACAUCUUACAGAAUGAUGUUUUCUGUGAUGGUGAGAUUAGGUUCUUUUGUAUGUAAGUGAUUUUGCAUUGUUCUCCAGACUCUUUCUAAUUAGUGAGUUAAAGUGUUGCAACUGUGUAUAUUUUUCUUGUGCAUCAGCAAAAAGCGCUUUUGUGUAUUUGUUUUAGAGACUGUUUUGUCAAUGAAUGUAGAGGGUUUUCCAUUUUGUGUUUGUGUUGAUUGUAACUAGGUAAUUAAUACACUGAAAUUACAUUGUAGUAUAUUUUAGUUCACUUUAUAUUCUAUUACACUUAAUAUUUUAUUGCUUAUUCAGAAGUACCUAUUUACCAUAUUUCAAAGCACAUAUAAAAUAUACUAAAGUCCCACUUAAGUGGUUCAAAAAUAUCACUCAAAAGUUCAACUAAUUGCAC
ensembl:lncRNA